UACGUAGGGUGCAAGCGUUAAUCGGAAUUACUGGGCGUAAAGCGUGCGCAGGCGGCUAUGCAAGACAGAUGUGAAAUCCCCGGGCUCAACCUGGGAACUGCAUUUGUGACUGCAUGGCUAGAGUACGGUAGAGGGGGAUGGAAUUCCGCGUGUAGCAGUGAAAUGCGUAGAUAUGCGGAGGAACACCGAUGGCGAAGGCAAUCCCCUGGACCGGUACUGACGCUGAUGCGCGAAAGCGUGGGGAGCAAACGGG
rnacentral:rRNA from 1 species